rnacentral:rRNA from 1 species
GGUUUAAUUCGAUGAUACGCGAGGAACCUUACCCGGGCUUGAAUUGCAGAGGAAGGAUUUGGAGACAAUGACGCCCUUCGGGGUCUCUGUGAAGGUGCUGCAUGGUUGUCGUCAGCUCGUGCCGUGAGGUGUCGGCUUAAGUGCCAUAACGAGCGCAACCCCUCUCCUUAGUUGCCAUCAGGUAAAGCUGGGCACUCUGGGGACACUGCCACCGUAAGGUGUGAGGAAGGUGGGAUGACG